rnacentral:sRNA from 1 species
AUGGGAAAGAAACCUGGAAAGGUAGGGAGUACCCUUGGCUGUGUACAUUUGAGUAAAGAGAGCACUAUAAAAUCAAAAACCAAUGAAAUGGUUUCCAGAACACAGAACUAUUAAGCUUAAGAAAAGGACAGAAGGAACUGAAGAGAGAGGAACUGUUUUGGAGCAUCACACUUCCACCUCAGAAGAAAUAAGGAAGGAAGGAGGAGGGUGUUCCCACGGCUCUUCAACCAGGCGGGCUCUUCAGCCUACAUCCCCAUCUCAUCAAGUAAAAGGGAUUUUUCAACUGGACCAACCAGAUGGUUUAACAGUGCACUCCCACACCAUUCAACUACGCAAGGGAGAUACACUUAACAUAUGCAGUCGUAUAACACCUACUAACAUUUUCAAACAUUAAACCUUUAAAAAAGAGUUCUAAAGAAAUAGAAGCUUGAAGUAUCAUCUCUCAAGUAUAUAGACACUACUUCAUGGUGUGGUAAUAUAUGCAUAUAGAAGCUAGUAAACACCUCCAGGAGAUGCAAAAGGAAUUAGAACUGCCACAAGGUGCAAGCAAAACCUUGAGGUAAUCAAUCUGCAUCCCAUUUUGGAUGAGAAUAUUUGCAACUUUGAAGGUUAUUUUAAGGACAGCAGCAGAAGAAUUAUGGCAGCUCUUCACGGAAAAAAAAAUGGCAACAAUAAAAUCAGCAACUCCUGCCAAAUAAAUGGGCAUAAAAAAGAAAUCAUAGACUGCUGGCAAUGGUGGGGAAAAAGUUAUAAAAAUUGUCUCUGCACCAUCUUCCUUUUGUCCUCUAAAAUAUUCACAUUAGCAAAAGUAUAUAACAGCUGAUGAAGAAAUACUGAUAAUUUGUCUUUCUUCUUUAAAAUAUGAAGACUUCAAAGUUAUUUAUCCAAACCAACCUGAUCAUUUCUUAAGAGUGAAUAUACCUUGGAAGAUGUGUCCUGCCUUUAGUAGCGUCACAAUGGAUUACAUCCUCUAUAAAGCAGUCUGGGGUGAGAAAAUCGAAUUUGGACACCGUUGAGGAGACUAUUGCAGUCAUCCAAGCUCAAGAUGGUGGAGCUUCAUCCUUGAGAAUAACCAAUGGGGAUAGAUUUAAGAGACACUUAGAGUCUGCAGCCAACAGGGCUGAAUGAGCAGAGAGUUAUGAUUCAGAAGAUCAUCUAAAAUUGAACAGCUGCCACUACUGGCAAUAAGUCUACUGCCAUUUGGUAGAUAACCUUCUUAUCACACAGAAAAAUAUCAGUACAGACAAAUAGACUGCAAAGAAAAUGAGACCAUCAGCAAAGAAGAUAAAGAAGUUUGUACAAAGCAACUUUUUAUAAAUGGAUGGCUGUCAGGCAAAAAUAAAUUUCCUGUGGACAAGACCAAGAGCAAGGCAAGAGGAAAAUAAACAUGUUUAAACU